rnacentral:tRNA from 1 species
AUUUGUAUAGUUUAAAAAUCAUUAAAACACUUCAUUUUCAAUGAAGAGAUAGGGUGCCCUUACAAAUA